AGUGAACGCUGGCGGUAGGCCUAACACAUGCAAGUCGAACGGCAGCACAGUAAGAGCUUGCUCUUACGGGUGGCGAGUGGCGGACGGGUGAGGAAUACGUCGGAAUCUACUUUUUCGUGGGGGAUAACGUAGGGAAACUUACGCUAAUACCGCAUACGACCUACGGGUGAAAGCAGGGGAUCUUCGGACCUUGCGCGAUUGAAUGAGCCGAUGUCGGAUUAGCUAGUUGGCGGGGUAAAGGCCCACCAAGGCGACGAUCCGUAGCUGGUCUGAGAGGAUGAUCAGCCACACUGGAACUGAGACACGGUCCAGACUCCUACGGGAGGCAGCAGUGGGGAAUAUUGGACAAUGGGCGCAAGCCUGAUCCAGCCAUACCGCGUGGGUGAAGAAGGCCUUCGGGUUGUAAAGCCCUUUUGUUGGGAAAGAAAAACAGCAGGUUAAUACCCCGCUGUUCUGACGGUACCCAAAGAAUAAGCACCGGCUAACUUCAUG
rnacentral:rRNA from 1 species